CUCUAGCCCCACCCCUUCCAUCCACCUCUGUCCCCCUCUCCUCCCUUCUUCUUCUAGCCCCACCCCUUCCAUCCAAUUCUGUCCCCCCUCCUCCCUUCUUCCUCUAGCCCCACCCCUUCCAUCCACCUCUGUCCCCCCUCUCCUCCCUUCUUCUUCUAGUCCCACCCCCUCCAUCAAUCUCAGACAGACACACACAAACAUACACAAGUCCUCAGCUGACAUGAAGCAGCUUCUAGGGACCCUGGCAGUGUCUCAAAUAGUAAAUCUAUAACGUUUAUAGUGCAUUACUUUUUAUUACCAGGGCAUUUAGGGUAGUAGUGCACUAUAUAGGGAAUAGGGUCCCAUUUGGAACACAACCAAUAGGCUUGUUGUUUACCUCUUUACAACAUGAACCCUUUCUGGUUCACACAUUUUAAUCUAAAUCGUAUGCUAAUGUGUUUGUGUGUGUCAGUCAGGACGAGACCAGAAGACAGAGGGUUGCGUUUUCUCUGUCUAUAAGCUGUGCACAUACACAUCUAUUUAUCUUGAUGUUCCGUCUGUAGGGGUGAUGGGGAUUAGGUUGUAUACUACACUGUCUGUAGGGGUGAUGGGGAUUAGGUUGUAUACUAUACUGUCUGUAGGGGUGAUAGGGAUUAGGUUGUAUACUAUACUGUCUGUAGGGGUGAUGGGGAUUAGGUUGUAUACUAUACUGUCUGUAGGGGUGAUGGGGAUUAGGUUGUAUACUGUCUGUAGGGGUGAUGGGGAUUAGGUUGUAUACUAUACUGUCUGUAGGGGUGAUGGGGAUUAGGUUGUAUACUAUACUGUCUGUAGGGGUGAUGGGGAUUAGGUUGUAUACUAUACUGUCUGUAGGGGUGAUGGGGAUUAGGUUGUAUACUAUACUGUCUGUAGGGGUGAUAGGGAUUAGGUUGUAUACUAUACUGUCUGUAGGGGUGAUGGGGAUUAGGUUGUAUACUAUACUGUCUGUAGGGGUGAUAGGGAUUAGGUUGUAUACUAUACUGUCUGUAGGGGUGAUAGGGAUUAGGUUGUAUACUAUACUGUCUGUAGGGGUGAUGGGGAUUAGGUUGUAUACUAUACUGUCUGUAGGGGUGAUGAGGAUUAGGUUGUAUACUAUACUGUCUGUAGGGGUGAUAGGGAUUAGGUUGUAUACUAUACUGUCUGUAGGGGUGAUGGGGAUUAGGUUGUAUACUAUACUGUCUGUAGGGGUGAUGAGGAUUAGGUUGUAUACUAUACUGUCUGUAGGGGUGAUAGGGAUUAGGUUGUAUACUAUACUGUCUGUAGGGGUGAUGGGGAUUAGGUUGUAUACUAUACUGUCUGUAGGGGUGAUGGGGAUUAGGUUGUAUACUAUACUGUCUGUAGGGGUGAUGGGGAUUAGGUUGUAUACUAUGCUGUCUGUAGGGGUGAUGGGGAUUAGGUUGUAUACUAUACUGUUUGUAGGGGUGAUGGGGAUUAGGUUGUAUACUAGACUGUCUGUAGGGGUGAUAGGGAUUAGGUUGUAUACUAUGCUGUCUGUAGGGGUGAUGGGGAUUAGGUUGUAUACUAUACUGUCUGUAGGGGUGAUGGGGAUUAGGUUGUAUACUAUACUGUCUGUAGGGGUGAUGGGGAUUAGGUUGUAUACUGUCUGUAGGGGUGAUAGGGAUUAGGUUGUAUACUACACUGUCUGUAGGGGUGAUGGGGAUUAGAUUGUAUACUAUACUGUCUGUAGGGGUGAUGGGGAUUAGGUUGUAUUCUAUACUGUCUGUAGGGGUGAUGGGGAUUAGGUUGUAUACUAUACUGUCUGUAGGGGUGAUAGGGAUUAGGUUGUAUACUAUGCUGUCUGUAGGGGUGAUGGGGAUUAGGUUGUAUACUAUACUGUCUGUAGGGGGAUGGGGAUUAGGUUGUAUACUAUACUGUCUGUAGGGGUGAUAGGGAUUAGGUUGUAUACUAUACUGUCUGUAGGGGUGAUGGGGAUUAGGUUGUAUACUGUCUGUAGGGGUGAUAGGGAUUAGGUUGUAUACUAUACUGUCUGUAGGGGUGAUAGGGAUUAGGUUGUAUACUAUACUGUCUGUAGGGGUGAUGGGGAUUAGGUUGUAUACUAUACUGUCUGUAGGGGUGAUAGGGAUUAGGUUGUAUACUGUCUGUAGGGGUGAUAGGGAUUAGGUUGUAUACUAUACUGUCUGUAGGGGUGAUGGGGAUUAGGUUGUAUACUAUACUGUCUGUAGGGGUGAUAGGGAUUAGGUUGUAUACUAUACUGUCUGUAGGGGUGAUGGGGAUUAGGUUGUAUACUAUACUGUCUGUAGGGGUGAUAGGGAUUAGGUUGUAUACUAUACUGUCUGUAGGGGUGAUGGGGAUUAGGUUGUAUACUAUACUGUCUGUAGGGGUGAUAGGGAUUAGGUUGUAUACUGUCUGUAGGGGUGAUAGGGAUUACAUGUGGAUCAUAGUAUUGGAAGAGUUUUUCUUCCACCAGGAGACUUCUAGUUAAAUCCUGUACUUCUAAUGUUAUAUUAUUGCAUCUUUCAGGGAAAUCGUAAAAUGAUGUUUCAUGACCGUGUAUGACCUUAGAGUCAAAUCCCGAUCCGUCCCGUACAGUUUACAGCUAUGGGACUACCCUGUUGUGCAUGACAACCACAAGCUCACUGAGUGGCGGUAGUUUAUGGAGUUAUAGAGGUGAGACACAUAGGCCCUGUAGACGCUUCAGUUUAAUUCUGUUAUUAUGUCAUUAUAAUGUGACUGCCACCUUGACCCUGUCCACCCUCACCUUCAGAAGAUCACCCCUUAUCUAAUUUACCUCC
rnacentral:lncRNA from 1 species